UACGUAGGGUGCGAGCGUUAAUCGGAAUUACUGGGCGUAAAGCGUGCGCAGGCGGUUCUACAAGACAGAUGUGAAAUCCCCGGGCUCAACCUGGGAACUGCAUUUGUGACUGUAGGGCUAGAGUACGGCAGAGGGGGAUGGAAUUCCGCGUGUAGCAGUGAAAUGCGUAGAUAUGCGGAGGAACACCGAUGGCGAAGGCAAUCCCCUGGGCCUGUACUGACGCUCAUGCACGAAAGCGUGGGGAGCAAACAGG
rnacentral:rRNA from 1 species